rnacentral:rRNA from 1 species
UACGAAGGGGGCUAGCGUUGCUCGGAAUCACUGGGCGUAAAGGGUGCGUAGGCGGGUCUUUAAGUCAGGGGUGAAAUCCUGGAGGCUCAACUCCAGAACUGCCUUUGAUACUGAAGAUCUUGAGUUCGGGAGAGGUGAGUGGAACUGCGAGUGUAGAGGUGAAAUUCGUAGAUAUUCGCAAGAACACCAGUGGCGAAGGCGGCUCACUGGCCCGAUACUGACGCUGAGGCACGAAAGCGUGGGGAGCAAACAGGG